rnacentral:tRNA from 1 species
GGCCUGUUAGCUCAGCCACGAAGAGCAACCGCCUGUCGAGCGGAAGGUCGCGGGAGCAAAGCCCGCACAGGCCG